rnacentral:lncRNA from 1 species
CCUGGUUUCCCUGAGGUGGAACACUUAGCAUGGGAAGGUGGCACACCACCAGGAAGCACUCAGAGGACAAAGCCUUUCUGUGAAGGCCUUGUUCUAAAUAUACAAACACGGAGCCUCCGAGAAUGAACAGAUCUGCAAGGCUGCAGUUUGAUUUGACCCAGUUUCAAGAAUUCCCAUCCCCCCGACAAUUUCCUCUGAACCCUAUCUCACCAACAUUAAUGAAGAACAGCCACUACCACAGUGUUGCUAGAACCUGUUUCUUUCCAUUCCUGGAUUGUGCCUGAGUCAAGCGGUGGUAACUGUGGACCGCAAGAAUGCUGAGCGCGUGAAUAAUCGAGCACCUGAAUAAUCGAGCACCUGUCGUAUUGGGUCUCCUUCUGAAGUCCUUGUACCAAGUAAAUGGAAGCUGCUGCAGUGUUGAAGUGAACCUAACACAAUGGUUAAGAAUGAAGACUCUGGAUGUCCUAAACAAAAGAAUGAAGAUUCUGGAGAGACAGACAGUUCUGGAUUAGUCAGUACCAUCCCUCAUUGAAGAAAUGGAGACCAUCACAGAGAACCACAACUGGACAUAAUGUAGAGAUCAAUGGAUUUGUGGGAUCCUGGCCCCAAUGGAUACAUCUAUAGCACAGCUCCUAUGUCUAUAGCUCAAGGAACAGCGUGGAAGAGGAAGUGGAAAGGCUACAAGGGCCGGAAUACCAGCAAGUCUGCUGUGAGACAGUCUUUCCUAAAAACGACUGUGUAAACAAGAUUGGAACAAUGGCAGUAUCAUUGGACAUGUUAACGUGGAAGGGGACAUUUCAAGAGUUUCUAGCCCUAGAAAGAGAAUUACAGGCAGCUAAUGACUGAUGGGAGAAGGAGAACUAACCUGUUCUGGGGAUGAGCCCCAUAUUGGUUGUCCAACCAUGACUGGCCAUGAAACCAUAUACACACAAAUAACAAAAUUAGAUUCAGCAGGUUAUAUUUAUAUGUGUUUGUGCACACACAUCCGUGUGUGUGUGUGUGUGUGUGUGUGUGUGUGUGUGUGUGUGUGUGCAACAAUAAUAUUCAAAGCAAAGGAGAAUAUCAUCCUUAGAGUUGGGGGAGUCGAUGGAGUAUCUGGCAGAAACUGUAGGGAAGAAGGGGGCAGAGCAUUAUAAUUCUAUUCUAACUGAAGCCAUUUUUAAAAGCCUUCCUGACUAGAACAGGAGGCUAUGCCCUAGUGACUCUGAUCUGUGUGUCCUGAUGAUCAGAGGAGCGGAACACUUGCUGUAUUGUCUUCCUACAUUGUUGUUUUUUCCAUACAGUUGUUGCCCAGUCAACCACUUUAAAAUUGACAGAUUUGUUUUCUGCUGUUCCAUGAGCGGCCCUGCACUGCACGCCACCCCCUCUGUCAGGUCCUGAAGUGCUGUUCAUCCGUACACGGCACGCCACCCCCUCUGUCAGAUACAAGGCUGAUGGCAUGUUGACUUCUAAUUCAGCCAAGGUUAAAAUAAUAAUAAUAAUAAUAAUAAUAAUAAUAAUAAUAAUAAAUAGAAA